AUUGAACGCUGGCGGAAUGCUUUACACAUGCAAGUCGAACGGCAGCACGGGGGCAGCCCUGGUGGCGAGUGGCGAACGGGUGAGUAAUACAUCGGAACGUGCCCGGUCGUGGGGGAUAACGUAGCGAAAGUUACGCUAAUACCGCAUACGAUCUGAGGAUGAAAGCGGGGGACCUUCGGGCCUCGCGCGAUCGGAGCGGCCGAUGUCAGAUUAGGUAGUUGGUGGGGUAAAGGCCUACCAAGCCGACGAUCUGUAGCUGGUCUGAGAGGACGACCAGCCACACUGGGACUGAGACACGGCCCAGACUCCUACGGGAGGCAGCAGUGGGGAAUUUUGGACAAUGGGCGCAAGCCUGAUCCAGCCAUUCCGCGUGCAGGACGAAGGCCUUCGGGUUGUAAACUGCUUUUGUACGGAACGAAAAGGCCCUGGCUAAUACCUGGGGCUCAUGACGGUACCGUAAGAAUAAGCACCGGCUAACUACGUG
rnacentral:rRNA from 1 species